rnacentral:rRNA from 2 species
CAGCAGUGAGGAAUAUUGGUCAAUGGCCUAACGGCUGAACUGGCAACUUGGAGAAGUGGCAAGUCUUCCAGUAUGGGGAGCAAAACAGCUAUGGGUCAAGUCCGAUAUCUUUAGGAGAAGUCUUAUUGUGAGGGCGAGUUAUAUAACACCAUAGGACUGGCCGUCCCAUAUGAAAAGAUUAUAUUAGAAUUGAAUGAAGCUUUGUUUAUAUAUUGAUAAUGACAGUAUAUAUAUCGUGUCUUGACUAAUUGCGUGCCAGCAGUCGCGGUAAUACGUAAGAGACUAGUGUUAUUCAUCUUAAUUAGGUUUAAAGGGUACCCAGACGGUCAAUAUAGCUUAUAAAAUGUUAGUACUUGACUAGAGUUUUAUGUAAGAGGGCAGUACUUGAGGAGGAGAGAUGAAAUUUCGUGAUACCAAAGGGACUCUGUAAAGGCGAAGGCAGCCCUCUAUGUAAAAACUGACGUUGAAGGACGAAGGCACAGAGAACAAACAGGAUUAGAUACCCAAGUAGUCUUUGCAGUAAAUGAUGAAUGCCAUAGGUUAGAUUGGUCAAUUAUAGUCUAGGGUUAGUCUAGCAAACUAAUACCCUAUGCUAUAAUCCUAAUAUCUGGUCUAUAAAUGAAAGUGUAAGCAUUUCACCUCAAGAGUAAUGUGGCAACGCAGGAACUGAAAUCACUAGACCGUUUCUGACACCAGUAGUGAAGUAUGUUAUUUAAUUCGAUGAUCCGC